GAGAGAAUUUGUUGCUAACAGACCUGCUUUACAGGUUGGUUGUUUUUUUGUUUGUUUGUUUGUUUGUUUUUAGGUGAAAAGAAAUGGCUUUAAAUGGUGACUUCAAUCCAACGAAAGAAAUAAAGAGCACUUCUAUAGUUUUGUAUGUUGAGCCCUGGUAUACAUGAAAUGAAGAGGUGAACCAUAGAUUUAUCAUAUGACCUGACCUGUCAAUUCCAUUUGUAAGUAUCUACCUGAAUGAAAGGAAA
rnacentral:lncRNA from 1 species